UACGGAGGGGGCUAGCGUUGUUCGGAAUUACUGGGCGUAAAGCGCGCGUAGGCGGACCUGCAAGUCGGGGGGUGAAAGCCCGAGGCUCAACCUCGGAACUGCCUUCGAUACUGCGGGUCUCGAGUCCGGGAGAGGGAUGUGGAAUUCCAGGUGUAGCGGUGAAAUGCGUAGAUAUCUGGAGGAACACCGGUGGCGAAGGCGGCAUCCUGGACCGGUAUUGACGCUGAGGCGCGAAAGCUAGGGGAGCAAACGGG
rnacentral:rRNA from 1 species